GAUUUGCGCAAUUCCUGUUGCUUCUGGCUGUGGGAAAAUUGUUAUCAAUCAUGCACUUACCAAGGUGAUGAACUUAUUUGGUGAUGUUAAAGGGAAAGUAGCUAUAAUGGUGGACAACAUGAUCGACACAACAUGUGAGUUAUAAGUUUGUAUCUUUCAGUGUCCCUGCAUGUGAUCAUGUUUUAGCUUUUAUAUAUGUCUCAAGCUUGAUCCAAAUGUUUACUAAACUUAAUAUUUGAAUUUGUUUUUUUUUUUUUUUU